rfam:Perkinsus marinus ATCC 50983 gcontig_1104296140516, whole genome shotgun sequence.
GCUCUGGUGGCUCAAUCGGAUAGAGCGUUGGACUUCUAAUCCAAAGGUGC